GCCCCUGGAGAAGGUUCUAAACUCCGAGGCCAGGGGGUUUCUCUAGCCUAACAUCCCACCCAGGGGCUUGGCAUUCGGCCCCGUGUCGGCGCGCUCUUAUCUGGACAGACUGCUGUUCCAGCAAAGGGGUCUCUAACCCAGCAGGCUUUGGCCCACUGGUGGGUCAGGAAAUAAAUUUAGUACCUCGCAACAAGCGUUAAAAAUACCAACGAGAAAAGAAUAGGGACGCCCCAGGAGUGGGCCAGGGGCCCUACUGCUGCACUUCUGCUUGGGAUCUGUAAAUCUGCCACAGCUCAGGGCUCGUCUUCAGUCUUCAGGGAACUCCUUCGUUGCUCCUUCCCAGAUGGACAUUUGGGUUAUUUCCAGUUGGGGGCUAUUAUGAAGAAGGCUGCCAUGAACAUUUGUGGACUUGUCGUUGGUUGCAUGAGCACUCACUUCUCCUGGGGCGCACCUAGGCGUGGGAUUGCUGAUGUACACGGUGAUUAACUUUAGCAGAUCUUGCCAAAUGAAGGUGCACCGCGACUGUGCCGUCCACCCUCCCACCAGCAGCGUCUGACAGCUCCAGCUGCUCCAUCUCCUCAAGACUCGGUGUUGUCAAACUUUUUUUUUUUAAUUGUGGUAAAAUAUACACAACGUAAAUAUAAUUUUAACCAUUUUUAAGUGUGCUACUCUGUGCCAUUAAGUACACUGGCAGUGCUGUAUUUAACUUUCACCACUAUCUAUUUCCAGAAAAUUUUUAUCAUCCCAAACAGAAACUCAUAUCCAUUAAGCAACAACUCCCCUUUCCCCCUUUCCUCCAGCUCCUGGUAGCCUCUGUUCUGCCUUCUGUUUCUAUGAAUUUGCUUAUUCUAAGUAUUUCACAUAAGAGAAAUCAUACAGUAUUUGUUCUUCUAUGUCUGGUUUAUUUCAUUCAUCAUGUCUGCAAGGUUCAUCCAUGUUGUGGCAUGCACCUGCCCUUCACUCCUUCCAUAGCUGAGCAUUAUCUCAUGGCAGGCACCUACCACGCCUUGCUGCUCCAUUCCUCUGCUGAUGGAUGCUUGGGGUGCUCCCACCUUUUAGCUAUUUUGAAUAAUGUCGCUGUGAACAUUGGGGUACAGAUAUCUGUCCGAGAUCCUGCUCUCAAUUCUUUUGGGUUUAUGCCUGGGAGUAGGAUUGCCGGGUCAUAUAGUAGUUCUGUGUUAAACUUUCUGAGGAACUGCCAAACUGUUCCCCCAAUCUUUUUAAUUGUAAUGAUUUUGAUGGGUAUGUAAUGGUAUCUCAUCGUGGUUUUAUUUUGUGUUUCCCUGAUAACUAAUGAUGUUGAGCAUGUCUUCAUAGGCUUAUUGGCCAUUUAGAUAUUCCCUUUUGUGACAUUCCUGUUUUCAAAAAUGGAUUUGUAGAAAUAAAUAAAUAAUACACACAUGGAUGUAUACAAAAGUCCAUCCGUCCAUCCAUCCAUCCAUCCCCACAGGAUGAGUCCUUUGUGGGACACAGGCACUGUGACAACCUCUGGUCUGUGGCUGGUCUUUUUCUCCCUCUCAACUGUCAAGGUUUUAGAUAGACAGAAAUUAUUAAUUUUAACACAGCCCAAUAUAUCAAUUUUUUUUUAAUGGAUGGUACUUGUCUGUCCUUAAGUUUAAGAAAUCCUUGCCUUUCUCAAAAUCUUAAAGAUAUUCUCAUUUCCUUUUAUCUUUACUGCUUUAGCUUGUACAUAUAGGUCUACAAUCUAUCUUAAACUGAUUUCUGUGUAUGGUGUCAGGUAAGGUCAAGGUUCACUGUUUUCCACAUGGCCAGCCAAUCGCCCUAUUUACUGAAACGACCAUCCUCUGCCCACUGAAGUGCAGUGGUACCUCUGUUGUAAAUAAACUGACCCUAUGUGUAUGGUUCUAUCAUAGUUCAUUUUUUUUAAUGGGUCUAUUUAUCUAUCUGUGUGCUGAUAAUACACUGUAUUAAUUAAUUACUUUAGCUUUAUAAUAAAUCAUGAAAUCCAGCAGUGUAAAUCUUCCUCCUUUAAAUUUUUCUAUUCCAUAUAAAUUUUAGAAACAGCUUUUUCUUAACCCAAAAGAGCAACCAAAAAAAUAAGAAUUGCAAUGACUGUGUAGCUCAAUUUGGAAAGCCUUAAUAACUUACACUAUUGAGUUCUCCAAGUCAUGAAUAGGAUAAAUCUCUCCAUAUGUGUAAGUAUUCUUUAAUUUCUCUAAGUAAUAUUUUGUGGUUUUCAGGGUAGGAUCCUUGCACAUCUUUCAUCAAAUUUAUUCCAAGAUAUUUGAGGGGUUUUGGUACUACUGUGAAUGGUAUUUUAAAAAUCAUUUCCCAAGUGUUUGCUCAUAGUAUAUAGAAAUAUAAUUGAUUUCUGUAUGUUGAUCUUAUAUCCAGCAACCUUGCUAAAGUCAUCUAUUAAUGUUGAUUACUUGUUUUUACAUUCUUUUGGCUUACUUAUAUACAUAAGCAAGUCAUCAGCCAAUGAUCAGUUUUAUUUCUUUUUCAAUCUUUGUGUCAUUUGUUUAUUCAUUUGUCUAUUCGUUCACUCAUUAGUUAAUUUAUUUGCUUUACUGCCCUGGCUACAACCUCCACCACUAUGUUGUCUAGAAAAGUUGGUGUUUUAUUUCCAACAUUGGAGGAGAUUUAAUUUUUUCAAAGUAUAAAUAAUAUGAUGUUAGCUGAACUUAUUUUGUAAGAUACUCUUUGUCAGAUUAAGGACCGUUCUUUUCUAUUUCUAUUUUUCAAAGAGUUUUUAUCAUGGACAGAUGUUGAAUUUUAUCAAUGACUUUCCUGAAUAAUAUUAUAUGGCUUUUCUCUAUUAUACUAUUUCUGUGGUAAAUUACAUUGACGGAUUGUCAAAUGCUAUAAAAACCUUGCAUAAUUGGAAUAAACCUCACUAGGUCAUGAUUUAUAAUGCCUUUUAUGUAUUCUGUUUGCUAAUAUUUUAUUUAGGAUAGUUGAAUCCAUGUUCGUGAGAGAAUUUUGCCUGUAAUUUUCCUUUCUUGUAAUGAAUUUUGUCAGGUUUUGGUAUCAGUAUUACGUUGGACACAUAAAAUGGACAAGGAAGUGUUCCCACUUUCUCUGCUAUCUAGAAAGAUAUGGAUAAGACCGGUAUUAUCUUUUUCUUAAAUGUUUGGAAGAAUUCCCUUGUGAAGCCAUGUGGGUCUGCAGUUUUCUUUUUUUUAAAUUUUAUUUUGAAAUAAAUUCAAAGUUACGUGAAUAGUUGCAAAAACAAUACUAGCCCCAUACUGCAGUUUUCUUUUAAGGGAAGGUUUUUAAUUAUGGCUUCAAUGUCCUUAACAGUUAUAGAACUAUUCAGAUUUUCUACUUCUGUGUUAACAUUGAUAACUCAUGUUUUCCAAGAAAAUUGUCCAUUUUCUCUAUGUUUUCAAUGUAUUAGCUAAACUAGUUAUGAUAUUCUCUUAUUAUUUUUAAAUUAUUUAAAAAUAUAUGUAUAUCUAUGUUGAAGUCUCAUUUUUAGUACCUGGUCAUGGAUAUUUGUGGGGAUUUUCCCCCCUCGAUUAGUUCUUCUAGUUUUGUUGAUUUUCUCUACCAUACUCUGGGAAGAACUUCUUUAAGCCCCUCAAGGAUGGGUUCC